CUAGAACUAGAAGGUCCCUGCGCUACCACCAACUUCCAUGAGAACUUCCCGUAUGAAGCUCUGGGUUCCAUCUCCUAACAUUUAGAAAUUUGAGCCCUAACUCCACCUUCCAUUUCUAAUAGAUUCUAAUUUUGUAUUCAUUUUCUUUCCUUCUGUCUUUUUCCCCAAUGGCCCAUUACAGACUUUGCUUCCUUUUUCGUUUAAUUUUUUUAGAAAUCCCAAAUUGGUUGCUCCAUUUCUUUCUUUAUCCGAUUUUUGGCCUUAACUUCUAGAUUCCUAUCAAAAUUAUCCAUUUUGCUUCCACUUUUUUAGUGAUUUCGGUUUCUGAUUUCUGCUUUAUUGCAGAAUUUUUAAGCGACAAUGUCUUUGUGCCAAGGGUUCUAGCAAAAGUGCUCCUUGUAAAUGCGGUUCCAUGCCCAUUUCUUCGAGAACUCUUCCUGCCAAACAACAAAUGGAGGCUAAAAGAAUACAUCUAUGUGAAGCUCUGGGUUUCCAUCUCCAAACAACGUGAAAUUUGAGUGCCAGCUCCACCUUUAAUCCUAAUGGAUGCUAAUUUGGGUUUGUUUUUUUCCCAAACAGCCCCUUACACAGCUUUCUCUCCCUUUUCGUCUAAUUUUUCUUAAUCCCUAAUAUGUUAUUUCCUUCUUUCUCCUAUUUUUGGUCUUAGCUUCUGGGUUAGUGGAAACAAUUUCCUAUCUUGAUUCCAGUAUGUUGGUGACUCUAUGAUUUCUGAUUUUUGCUCAACAAUUCGGGAUAAAAUAACUUCUCAUGUCAUGCCAUGGUUUACUAGCGAGGCUGCUCAAGGAGAUUCAAGCUGAAAAUAUGAAAGUUGUUAUCGAGGAAGAUGAGGAUGAAGAAGAUGCAUAUGACAAGGAUGAGGAGGAGAUGACAUAAAAGAAUGUGAGAUUUUUUGCCUGCUUUUACAAAGUGAUUCGUCUUUUUCCUGUUAAUCUAUGCCAUGUUAUUCCAGUUAAAGAGGGUUACUAGAUUUUUACAAAUUCUCUUUGCAAAGUAAAAGUUAAUGUGUUGCCCUUCUCAGCUGCCACAUGUUAAUAGAGGGUAUUGUAGCCAUAAAGAUUGCUUUUAGAAGUUAAUUUGAGUGUGUGUUUCUCUUACAUCAAAGGCUUGAACCACUAGAAUAGAGUGGGUGAUGAAAAUUGGCAAAGCAACUAAUGAACUAACUCUUUUCUUCAUUCUUUUGUCAUGUAUUUUCUUGAUAUCUUAGGGUCUUUAUUUUAAAGCAGUCUGUUUCAUGAAGCUUUUGUAAUAUCCAUAAAAUUAUCGUGCAUAUAAACGAAUUGUGACUAGAAAUGAUAAUAUGGAGAAUGGCAGCGAUGGAAGACAAGUUGCGGGAAUCGAGGUUGCGAUGGUUUGGCCAUGUGAGGAGGAGAGACAUAGAUACCCCGGUCAGGAGGUGUGAGAGGUGGACCAUGACGGGCUUGAGGAAGGGUAGGGGUAGGCCAAAGAAGUAUUGGGGAGACGUGAUUAGGCAUGACAUGUCAGUGCUUCGCCUAACCGAGGACAUGACUAGUGAUAGGAAAGUAUGGAGAUCGACGAUCAAGGUGGUGGGUUGACUGGUAGUUGUGAGUUUCUCCUAAGGUUACCGGUAGUAGUAAUAUUCUUGUUGCUAGUUGAAAGAUACUUUCUUCUUGUUUGUUAUUAUAUUUGGUACAUGACAAUCAAGUCCACUAUUUUUGUGAAUUACUACUAGAAAUUGUUGCUUCAUGCUUGUUACUGUUUCA